CUAAAACCCUAGACACCUCCCCUACUAGCGGCAGCCGUGUGACCUCGUAACCCUCAAGGAACGAUCAAGAUUUCUCUCUUGAUUCAUCGCGGUUAGUACAAGUCCUUGUCUGAUUUUGUGUUACACAUCGGUUAUUUGGUAAUUAUGUUCGCAUGCCUUCUGUUAUGAUAUUUGAUAUUCUACUUGUCGGCUUUUAUGCUUUUGGUCCAAUUACAUUGUAUUCCUCCAAUUAUGUUUGCAUGUGGCUUGUCAGUUUAUAUAUAUAAUUAAAAAUGGUGAGUAAGUGUCGGCUGUAAACGAUAAGGGGGGAGGGGGUUUAAUCGGUUAAGUGUUAUGCCGGUCCAAUGGGGAUUGGCGGUGGUUGAUGGAUGGCGGCUAUCAUCUCGAUAAUGUCAUGUGUUUGGUCAGUUUCUAUGAAAUUAACAUUGUGAGUCAACUUUGGUUAAAUGGUUGUAUGGUAUUGGAUGAAUGGUUGGCUAGUUUAGGGGUCCAAUAACAUCAAGAGGUAAUAUCACAUUGUCAGACAACAUGAUUUGAGUUACAUGUGGUUAUUUGGAAUGAUGCAUGUAAAUUGGUGGCUAUACGUGUCUUUAGUGCAUGUUGCCAUGUUUGGAAAAUUAAUGAUCUUAUAUAAGUGUGCAUAAAAUAUAGAUUUUUGUUGGUCCAAUGAUCUUCAAGGGUAGAAAACUAGAAACUGACCGGUAUUGUUGGGUUGACCAACAAACAUUCAUCUAAUCAUUUUUAGAACUGAUAGUUCAUAAGUUAAAUAUGGUUAAAAAAACAAUAUAAUUAAUGACAUCUUUGUGUUUGUGUUGGCUUUGGUAGUUCAGUUGGUUUAAGGUGGAUGUGUUUUUAUUAUAGUCUUGUGUUGGUAUAUUCAUUUUAUGUUCGAUUGGAGUUCGUGUUUGUAUUUGACUUUGGUUUGGUUUGAGAUGGUUUUCGAUUUAAGGUCUGGUUAUCGUUUGCAUAAUUCAUAUUUAUGAAUCAGGUUUCAAGAAUAGUGCAAAAUCACCAUCGAUCCAAACGUUUUGUGUUUGAUGGUUUGCAGCCGUUUGGUAUCUGGUCGUGAAAACCAAACCAUAUGUUUAACUUCUAUUAUUUAUAUUUUUUUCUCAUUUUUGAAAUAUACGUAUCAUAAUCAUGAACAAUCUCUACCAAUUUAAAAACUUUAACGCAAACAAAUGAUCAUGAAAAAUAAAAAUGAAAAAGUUAGGUUCUAACCAUCCAAACUCAAAACCCAAUUGUUAAAUCCCCAAACAGGUAAACCGGUGUCGUUCUCAAAAACAUAGCCAGUGGUUUGACCUAGAAUUUUUGUCAAAACCAGAUUGGAAACAACCCUGCCCCAAAAACUUAAAGUUUAUCAAAAGAUUUAACAAACAAUUUUGUAUACUUCAAAAAAAAAAAAAAGAAAGUUGCCCCAAACAUCACAAUCAAAACAAUUGAAGAAAUAAAUUUUGAAAUCAAAAUAUGUAAUAAAAGAUCUUCAAUCCGAAAAAUAAAUCAAUAGUUUGAAAGUCUUAUAACCAUUUUUAAUCCCGGAGUUCCCAAGCCGUAUCUUUCAAAGUAUUCUUUUAACAUAUAAAAGAAUAGGUCAAUAGAUUUACAUUAACAAAACAUAUGCUAUUGUAUUCAUGAAUUUAAUUGUCUAUUAACGCCUGUAUGGAUUCUUUGUGGGCGUCACCAACUCACCAUGUUUCGAUCUUCGGAUAUCUGCUAACUCAAUUUACAGUAUUCUCACGAGUCCGGUCAGGGACGAGUCUGGUCGAGUC
rnacentral:lncRNA from 1 species